CACACUUAAAAAUAUUUCACGACCUCGGUUAAAAAAACUGCCGAAAUUCGUCGGCUCUUUCGAUUCUUGCUGAUAUGUCAGUUAAAAAUUUCCCAUUGCCGAUAAUCAAUACCAUUUAAAACUGAAAUAUCAGUUAAACAAAUAUUUUAACCGAAACUCGGCAACACAACAUGCCGAUUACGUACGUUAACACUGCUGUCACCGAGGUCAUCCGUCAAAAUAACCGAAAUUUCGGCUAUGCUAUUUGAGUUAGCCGAGGCUCGGUUUUCUAUCUGUCAUUCAUCAUUUUGUCGAAGCAGAAACCUUCCGGAGUGAUUUUGUGUUAUAAAAUUAAUAGUGUGAAAAAUAAACGAACAUAUGACACCCAGCGUGAAGAAACCGAUCAUCAGUAGCGUACGAUGGGACACGGGUGGCCUAGGAAGCUCUGUCAACGCACGUAGCCAGUGCACAUAAGAUCGUCGCUCGAAGCAGUCCUUAUCCAAGGAUUACCGGAUGCUAGUCCGAUUGGACCAACCUUUGCCGGCACGUUCGGACUUCCAGGUUUCAUUUCCAGUUACCUUCACGAGGCUUGUUUCACUCUGCCCGCUUUACAGAACCGUGUCUGUACCGGUGCCCGCUCUAUGCCCGGCCCAUCUUCCUGCACCUUUAAUACAUCCAGACGCUGUACACCAUCUGGUGUUGUACCGGCGGCCGUCCCUGCGCUUCCCAUCCCACCACAACUCUCAUUAUUUGGGGGUGGGGAGGUGACUUCCUGCCGUCCAACUACAGAUAAGAUGGUGGUAUCAUGCUGCAGAAAAUGUACAUCGGCAAUCAGCAUCGGCUCUGGCUAUUAUGGCUGUGGCUCAAUAAAUAAUUGUGUUUGUUUUUAUAACUCAAACUAACUUUUUACGCAAAUAAAACCACUAAAAUUAAAAAAAGA